rnacentral:rRNA from 1 species
GACGAACGCUGGCGGCGUGCUUAACACAUGCAAGUCGAACGAUGAAGCUGGAGCUUGCUCCGGUGGAUUAGUGGCGAACGGGUGAGUAACACGUGAGCAAUCUGCCCUUGACUCUGGAAUAUCUGCGGGAAACUGCAGCUAAUACCGGAUACUUUCACUGGAAGGCAUCUUCUGGUGAAGAAAGAAUUUCGGUCAAGGAUGAGCUCGCGGCCUAUCAGCUUGUUGGUGAGGUAACGGCUCACCGAGGCGACGACGGGUAGCCGGCCUGAGAGGGUGACCGGCCACACUGGGACUGAGACACGGCCCAGACUCCUACGGGAGGCAGCAGUGGGGAAUAUUGCACAAUGGGCGCAAGCCUGAUGCAGCAACGCCGCGUGAGGGAUGAAGGCCUUCGGGUUGUAAACCUCUUUUAGCAGGGAAGAAGCGAAAGUGACGGUACCUGCAGAAAAAGCACCGGCUAACUACGUGCCAGCAGCCGCGGUAA